CCCUUGCCAGGAUGAGUAAAGUGGCGCACGGGUGAGUAACACGUGGGUAAUCUGCCUCUAAGCUAGGGAUAACGCUGCGAAAGCGGUGCUAAUACCUAAUAAGCCCACAGUCUCUGAGGAGACAGUGGGAAAAGGUGGCCUCUGUACAAGCUAUCACUUAGAGAUGAGCCCGCGCACCAUUAGCUUGUUGGUAGGGUAACGGCCUACCAAGGCAAUGAUGGUUAACUGGCCUGAGAGGGUGGCCAGCCACACUGGAACUGAGACACGGUCCAGACUCCUACGGGAGGCAGCAGUGGGGAAUAUUGCGCAAUGGGGGAAACCCUGACGCAGCGACGCCGUGUGAGUGAUGAAGGCUUUCGGGUCGUAAAGCUCUGUCUGACGGAAAGAAUAAAACAGGGAAAACAUUCCGUUUGAUGACUGUACCGUCAGAGGAAGCACCGGCUAACUCCGUGCCAGCAGCGCGGUAAUACGGAGGGUGCAAGCGUUGUUCGGAAUUACUGGGCGUAAAGCGCGUGUAGGCGGGUAUGUAGGUCAGAUGUGAAAGCCCUUGGCUCAACCAAGGAAGUGCAUCUGAAACCACAUAUCUUGAGUACGUCAGAGGAGAGUGGAAUUCCAGUGUAGAGGUGAAAUUCAUAGAUAUUGGGAAGAACACCAGUGGCGAAGGCGGCUCUCUGGGACGAUACUGACGCUGAGACGCGAAAGCGUGGGGAGCAAACAGGAUUAGAUACCCUGGUAGUCCACGCCGUAAACGAUGUGCACUAGGUGUGGGAGUAUUAAACUUCAGUGCCGCAGCUACGCAUUAAGUCACCGCCUGGGACUCGACGCAGGCUAAACCAAAGGAAGACGGGGGCCCGCACAAGCGGUGGAGUAUGUGGUUUAAUUCGACGCAACGCGCAAAACCUUACCUGGGCUUGACAUCCCGGUCGCAUCCCCUGGAAACAGGGAAGUCAGCUCGGCUGGACCGGAAACAGGUGCUGCAUGGCUGUCGUC
rnacentral:rRNA from 1 species